UACCACUCCUGUCCUACAAUAAACGGCUCCUACUCCUGCUGUAUCAAUCUACACAAGUUGUUCGUUACCCCCCCGGUUAUUUUGCUGCAGCCGGACUGCAACAAAUAACUGAAACAGGAAUUUCAGAAAGAAGCUCUAAAGACGUCCUGGAGAGCUCAGCACCUUGGAACAUCAUCGUCUGGAUUGCAAGUUACACCGUGAAGUACUUAAAGCAUCCCAUCAGGGAAGAGGGGACUGCCAUUAAUCAAGCAGAGGCACUAGUGGAAGAGCUUGACUUUGCCCUGAACCAGUGAAGACAGAGGUCAUACACAGUCACCAAAGUAAAAGGGGCGACAUGUUUUUGUCCUGAUCCAACAGGACACAGAAACAAGCUUCUCACUGUAGACACCGAGGGAGGACGGUUCACUCGAAAAACAUUUGGCACAAAGCUGUCAGAGGCACUAUCUGAAAUAGGGUCAGAAAUGUGGGGAAAGGAAGGCCAUUGUCUUUCAAGGUCACUAUCACUGCCAAAGGAGGGUGUCCUGAUGUUGUGUGCCUACAUCAUAAAGCAUUCACAGCGGUACCCAGUCCACUGAUCACAGGGUCAUGGUUCAUUAGGGGUAAAGAAAGAUGGACACACACUCACUGAGCUAUAGGGGGCAUUCGCUUCUGGUUUACUUACUCCUCUUGUUUGUCACAUUUGUAUACAGUAGGAAAUAGGACAUAAUGAUUGUAUGGUACUUGGCUUUUCUGGCUUCACCAGACACCAAAAUACUGCACCAAGUGAGGUACCAUGACCAACUGUCUCUAUUUGCUUAGGAUCACCCCAUUUUAGUACAGUGCAGUGUCCCCAGGAAGAUUUCAGUUCCCAGUAAACCAAGAUAUUUGGUCACCCCAGGUCUCACUUGUAUCCAGCUGAUUUUUUCUCUACUCCUGUUACUUGGGACAAGAGUGAAAAAAGAAAAAAGUGGGCUUAAACUUAAGAGCCAUUUUGUAACAUGUAUAUAAGGUCACAUCUUUGGGAGUGAGAAAUGCUAGAAGGUAUGCAAGAUCGUACUGUUAGGAAGAGAAAAAAAAAGUUUUUGAUGUCACUUCUAGUUCUUUGAUUCCCUGGUUUUAUGACACUACUCCUAUUAUCCUGAGAAAGUUAGGAGAGCCAUGAGUAAAAUAAUGUUUAUUGCUAUUUAUCAAAAGAUUAUCAUGUACUGGGCAUGGUGUUAACACUUUCAUUUUAUUCUCAUGACAGCUUUAGGAAAUAGAUAUUAUUAGAGAUAAUUUCAAGGUAAGGAAACAAGCCUAAGAACUUAUGUCAUGUCCAG
rnacentral:lncRNA from 1 species